AUGUUUUUGCCAUAUGUGUUGAGGGACACUAUUAGUCUGUUGUUGCUGCUUAGAACUCCUUCCUCCUGAUGUUGUACUUCAGUUUAUCACAUGAUGAUGAUGACUGCCACCAACUCCAAGACUAAAGAAUCAGAUCCAUCAUUUUAGGUAUCCCCAUUUUCCUAUCACCUGUGAGACUCUGGAUAUAUAGUUCUAUAAUAGAGUGUUGGUCUGACAAGUUUCAACGCUAGGUUUGCAAAAAUUUGGAGUGCUGGUUCAUAUCAUUGGGAAUUAGAAUCAGGAGGAUCAGAAGUUCAAGGACAUACUCAGCUGUAUAAUAAAUCCAAGCCCAGGCUUAGUUAUUGGAGACUCCAUCCUAAGCAAACAUGUGCAAGACUGAAAUAGAGCAUCAUUAUACAGAUCGGAGAAUAAAAAUGCACUGUUUUUGGGUAUAGAAUGUUAACCACAGAACAGAAGGGAUGCCUGCCUAAUUCCAGUACUGCUACAUAUGGAGUGAGUAGUGGCCACUCUCCAGGGAGCCUGCCUUUGCGAACUUCAAGUACACAGUUUUCUUUUGUUUAGUUUGUAAAUGAAAGAUUAGAAAGAUCAGAUAUGUGUCACACAGCAAGUUAGGAGGCACUACACACUGGGCCCCCACCUCAUGAAUUCACUUUUCUCUUUUCCACCUGCCAGUAAGUUGAAGCCCAUGUUUGUGUAUUUUGGAAAAUAUCUUCAGAGAUAUCGUUAGGGAGGCUGUGGCAUUCUCUUGGGAUAUGUAUUCUGGACUGCAGGUUGUGCUCCAGAUUUCAAAAAGCUGAUUGAUGUGCAGGUGAUGACAUCACAGACAUCUUUUAUCCUGUGGUCUGGUUUGCAUUUGCUUCCAUUUGAGUUUGAAACACACUUGAACUAUUCCCCAUGAAUCUGUGAGGGGAUUUCCAGAAGCAACUGGAACAUGGCUCAGGAAGGAGUGGAAUGUCCACCCCACAGGCAGCAUCCUUGGAUGGAGCAGGAAAGGAGAACAGGCUCUGGACCCCUUCCAGAGUGAUAUGCAUCCAAUAUGACAGGGACAGACCCCUGAAGAAGUAGAGAUAUUCAAGAGAAUCAAAAAGGACAGGUCUGACAGAUGAUCCUGGGCCAGAAGGCUGAAGACUGAUGCAUCAAUGUUUUUGAGGAAUUGGGGUUGCU